rnacentral:rRNA from 1 species
UACGAAGGGGGCUAGCGUUGCUCGGAAUCACUGGGCGUAAAGGGCGCGUAGGCGGCCUUGUAAGUCAAAGGUGAAAUCCCUCGGCUCAACUGAGGAACUGCCUUUGAAACUGCAAGCUUGAGGCCGGGAGGGGGUAGCGGAAUUCCCAAUGUAGCGGUGAAAUGCGUAGAUAUUGGGAGGAACAUCAGUGGCGAAGGCGGCCUGCUGGGCUGUUGCUGACGCUGAGGCGCGACAGCGUGGGGAGCAAACAGG